rnacentral:rRNA from 1 species
AAGCUUCAGUUACACAGGAAUCGUACCCGAAACCGACACAGGUGGUCAGGUCGAGUAGACCAAGGCGCUUGAGAGAACUCUGCUGAAGGAACUAGGCAAAAUGGUACCGUAACUUCGGGAGAAGGUACGCUGUUGUUGGUGAUGGAACUCGCUUCCUGAGCUGACGACAGCCGCAGAAACCAGGCCGCUGCAACUGUUUAUUAAAAACAUAGCACUCUGCAAACACGAAAGUGGACGUAUAGGGUGUGAUGCCUGCCCGGUGCUGGAAGGUUAAUUGAUGGGGUUAGCGUAAGCGAAGCUCUUGAUCGAAGCCCCAGUAAACGGCGGCCGUAACUAUAACGGUCCUAAGGUAGCGAAAUUCCUUGUCGGGUAAGUUCCGACCUGCACGAAUGGCAUAAUGAUGGCGGCGCUGUCUCCAGCAGAGGCUCAGUGAAAUCGAAAUCGCUGUGAAGAUGCAGUGUACCCGCGGCUAGACGGAAAGACCCCGUGAACCUUUACUGCAGCUUGACACUGAACUUUGACCUUACUUGUGUAGGAUAGGUGGGAGGCUUUGAAGCUGGAACGCUAGUUCCAGUGGAGCCGUCCUUGAAAUACCACCCUGGUAAUGUUGAGGUUCUAACUCUGUCCCGUGAUCCGGGACGAGGACCGUGUCUGGUGGGUAGUUUGACUGGGGCGGUCUCCUCCUAAAGAGUAACGGAGGAGUACGAAGGUGCGCUCAGCGUGGUCGGAAAUCACGCGUAGAGUAUAAAGGCAAAAGCGCGCUUAACUGCGAGACCCACAAGUCGAGCAGGUACGAAAGUAGGUCUUAGUGAUCCGGUGGUUCUGUAUGGAAGGGCCAUCGCUCAACGGAUAAAAGGUACUCUGGGGAUAACAGGCUGAUACCGCCCAAGAGUUCAUAUCGACGGCGGUGUUUGGCACCUCGAUGUCGGCUCAUCUCAUCCUGGGGCUGAAGCAGGUCCCAAGGGUAUGGCUGUUCGCCAUUUAAAGAGGUACGCGAGCUGGGUUUAGAACGUCGUGAGACAGUUCGGUCCCUAUCUACCGUGGGCGCUGGAAAUUUGAGAGGAUCUGCUCCUAGUACGAGAGGACCAGAGUGGACGAACCUCUGGUGUACCGGUUGUGACGCCAGUCGCAUCGCCGGGUAGCUAUGUUCGGAAGGGAUAACCGCUGAAAGCAUCUAAGCGGGAAGCCUACCUCAAGAUAAGAUUUCCCUAGGACUUUAUGUCCUCUAAAGAGCCGUUCGAGACUAGGACGUUGAUAGGUUGGAUGUGGAAGCAUAGUGAUAUGUGAAGCUGACCAAUACUAAUUGCUCGUGAGGCUUGACUAU